rnacentral:rRNA from 1 species
UACACUCCUACGGGAGGCAGCAGUGGGGAAUAUUGGACAAUGGGCGCAAGCCUGAUCCAGCCAUGCCGCGUGAGUGAUGAAGGCCCUAGGGUUGUAAAGCUCUUUCACCGGUGAAGAUAAUGACGGUAACCGGAGAAGAAGCCCCGGCUAACUUCGUGCCAGCAGCCGCGGUAAUACGAAGGGGGCUAGCGUUGUUCGGAUUUACUGGGCGUAAAGCGCACGUAGGCGGACUAUUAAGUCAGGUGUGAAAUCCCGGGGCUCAACCCCGGAACUGCCUUUGAUACUGGUAGUCUUGAGUUCGAAAGAGGUGAGUGGAAUUCCGAGUGUAGAGGUGAAAUUCGUAGAUAUUCGGAGGAACACCAGUGGCGAAGGCGGCUCACUGGCUCGAUACUGACGCUGAGGUGCGAAAGCGUGGGGAGCAAACAGGAUUAGAUACCCUAGUAGUCCCAUGAU